GCCUGUAAAAGAAGGGUGGAUGUUUUGUUUUGCUUUGUUUUGUCUGCAAGGACAGAAGAAUGACAGAGACUAAAGAGCUGUAGCUUCACAGCAGUGUGAACUGCAGACUGAACCCUUUGGUUGCUAAUGUUGAGCUACUGAUGUUUGCAUUAAGGAAAUUGUGUUUUAUUAGCUGUGUUUUAAUUAAGGUAUUACAUUAUAUUGUUGGGAAUAUUAAAUGCUAAAGUGAAGAAAAGGUUUGAUCCCACUCAUGACUGAGCAUGUUAUUAUUAACCAUAGUGGGUCACUAUAGAGAGUCAAUUAAUUUUAGAAAAAAAAACAAACAAACAAACAAAAAACCCUCCACCGAGGCCUAUGAAUAAGAGGGGAAUGAUAGACAGCCACACUCAAAAUGGAGAUAUGUAAUGAUAAACACUGGUCCCCGUCUUUUGGGCGCUCUCUUGAAGUAGUCAACAAUUUAAAAGUAAGACAAAAUAACAGGGGCAUGUGCUGAGGGGUGGUGCUGCACAAGAACAAGAGUAAAAUAAAGAAAAUAUUGUUUUUAGAAGUGCAAAUUAAAAUGUACCAUUACACUCAGAGGAUCAAUAUGAAGCUUAAUAUUUGUUAAUUUUGAAUGAAGUACAUGACUGGUGACUGUUCUGUCCUGAGCUUUUGUUUUUACAGCACCCGCUUGAUCACACCAACAGUUUCUCGCCACCGAAGAGGGGUACUUGAAAAAAUAAAGAACGGGGAGGAAUAUCAUCAAAACUGGAAACAGGUAAUCCCCAAAGGGGGUGAUAAUGCCAUAACUUUCACUAUGGUCAAAUUCUCAAAAUUUGACCCUCAAAAAUUCUUCUAACAUUUAGACACAAAGUGGAGAUUUAGAUAAAUAUAAUGUCGUAAACCACAUAAGCAUGAAGUAGUUGAUUCAAUAAGAUGGUGAAGUAACAAGCAGCAAAAGGUUGAUCAUGUUAAUGGUGUUUAUUCAAGGGUGCAGAGGAGAUUAUUAUUAUUAAAGACAACAAAUGAAAUAACGAAAAGUAGAACUGGAAAGAAUUUGCGUUAACGGUAAUAAAAUCAAAACAAAAAGGAAUACUAACUAAAACUGUACUGAAUGUUCACAAAACUAACUAAAAUUAACUAGAUUUAUAGCAAAAUGUGUUUGGUUGCAUUGAUGUGUGCGUGCCCUGCUAUAGUGAAAUUAAGGUAGUACGUUAGUCGAGUCGUCUGGGUUGCUGCUCCGUUCACCCGCAGAAUCUGGUCAGGAAAAGUCGGGAGACAGCGCCAGAAUAGAAUUGAGGAUGAUUUUAAUAUGAUUGUUUUGUAGACAUAACAAGAGUCUUGUAGUGGAGAGGGACGUAAUGUCCUCCUGAGACCCAGAGAAUAAGAAAAAACAGGGAGAAAUUAUUUUCGUUUUUUCUUUUUUCUUUUUUUCUUUUUUCUUUUAAAUGAAUCAAGUGUUAUUAAAAUAACAAUCUCAUAAGAUGAAGAUCAGGGGCCAACCCAGAAGUCACUGACACUUCACUAACUGUAAACUAUUGGUUUAGGAAUAAGUGAUGGCACUGACCUUUCUAUUUCACAAAAGUUAAUUUAUUUAGGAUAUCUGAGUAAGUACUGAUUUUAUUUGGAGACACAAAGGAACAUUUGGCACUUCCCUCAUCUCACAUCUGUUUCAUUGUUGUACCCAAUCAUUCUACAACUGAAAUACCUUGGACUGCUAACCAUUUCAGGCAAGUGGAGUGAACCAUAUUUUGCUAGAUUCUCAUCAGAUUGGGGCUUCCUUUUAUUGAUCUUUGGAGAGAAGUCUUCAUUACUGGUAUUAUUCAGGUCUUGUUCACAUGUUUGUCCCAGGUUUCUCAGCCAAGAGGAGCUUAAACCCCAGAUACUGUGAGUUCUUUUCACACGUUGAGAUCACUGAUAACUCUCAGCAACGACGUGAUCUCGUAGGAACAAUUAGGUGUUAUGGAUUCAACUAUAAUUGCGACUCUUAUUUUUUACUUUACUGGAAAACAUUUCUGCAUUUUACCCAUAUUUUAUUUUUAACUCAAAAUCAAAAUUCCAGAUUCUACUACAUGUUGGUUUUGCACCAGAUAGGACGACAGAUUUCAGGUGGCCCUGUGUCUUUCUCUAUUACAUCUGCCACUGCAUCUCGAUAAUCUUUGUGUGGCUUUUAGUGGGUCCUGACCCUCUCAUAUUUUGAAAAAUCUAUGUUUGAAUCUCCCUUAAUAAUUGUGUUAAGAAUUCUCUCCGCCUUUGUCAAAAGUUGGGUAUUAGGAAAAAGUGAAAUAAAUAUAAAUAUAAAGUCCCAAUGUGUAGAGCACACAUUAAUAA
ensembl:lncRNA